rnacentral:rRNA from 1 species
UGCAGUCGAGCGAUGGAUUAAGAGCUUGCUCUUAUGAAGUUAGCGGCGGACGGGUGAGUAACACGUGGGUAACCUGCCCAUAAGACUGGGAUAACUCCGGGAAACCGGGGCUAAUACCGGAUAACAUUUUGAACCGCAUGGUUCGAAAUUGAAAGGCGGCUUCGGCUGUCACUUAUGGAUGGACCCGCGUCGCAUUAGCUAGUUGGUGAGGUAACGGCUCACCAAGGCAACGAUGCGUAGCCGACCUGAGAGGGUGAUCGGCCACACUGGGACUGAGACACGGCCCAGACUCCUACGGGAGGCAGCAGUAGGGAAUCUUCCGCAAUGGACGAAAGUCUGACGGAGCAACGCCGCGUGAGUGAUGAAGGCUUUCGGGUCGUAAAACUCUGUUGUUAGGGAAGAACAAGUGCUAGUUGAAUAAGCUG